rnacentral:rRNA from 1 species
GGUGCGUACUGGUCGGGCGGGGUUUUCCUCUGGGCCCUUUUGGGUUCCAGAUAUUACUUUGAGAAAAUUAGAGUGUUCAAAGCAGGCCUUUGCUCGAUAUACAGCAUGGAAUAAUAGAAUAGGACGUAUGGUUCUAUUUUGUUGGUUUCUAGGACCAUCGUAAUGAUUAUAGGGAUAGGCGGGGCACAUCUAUGCGACGUCAGAGGUGAAAUUCUUGGAUUGUCGCAAGAGAACCGGCUGCGAAAGCGAUGUGCUAGUAUAUUCCCAUUAGUAAAGGACGAAAGUAGGGGGAUCGAAGAUGAUCAGAUACCGUCGUAGUCUCUACCGUAAACUAUGUUGACUAGGGAUCGGGGUGUGUUUUUCGAAACCAUCUCGGCACCUUAGCGAAAGUAAAGUUUUUGAAUUCAGGGGGGAGUAUGGUCGCAAGGCUGAAACUUAAAGGAAUUGACGGAAGGGCACCACCAGGAGUGGAGCCUGCGGCUUAAUUUGACUCAACACGGGACAGCUUACCAGGUCCAGACAUGAUAAGGAUUGACAAGUUAGAGACUUCUCUUGAUCUCAUGGGUGGUGGUGCAUGGCCGUUUUUAGUCCUUGGAGUGAUUUGUCUGCUUAAUUGCGAUAACGGACGAGACCUUAACCUGCUAAAUAGGUGGACUAACGUUAUGUUGGUUUUCACCUUCUUAGAGGGACUAUUGG